rnacentral:rRNA from 1 species
UCUGCCCAGUCGUGGGGGAGUAACUAGCCGAAAGGUUAGCUAAUACCGCAUACGACCGAGAGGUGAAAGCGGGGACGCAAGGCCUCGCGCGAUUGGAUGAGCCGACGUCGGAUUAGCUAGUUGCGGGGUAAAGGCCCACCAAGGCGACGAUCCGUAGCUGGUCUGAGAGGAUGAUCAGCCACACUGGAACUGAGACACGGUCCAGACUCCUACGGGAGGCAGCAGUGGGGAAUAUUGGACAAUGGGCGCAAGCCUGAUCCAGCAAUGCCGCGUGUGUGAAGAAGGCCUUCGGGUUGUAAAGCACUUUUAUCAGGAACGAAAAGCGUUGGAUUAAUACUCUGACGUGCUGACGGUACCUGAGGAAUAAGCACCGGCUAACUUCGUGCCAGCAGCCGCGGUAAUACGAAGGGUGCAAGCGUUAAUCGGAAUUACUGGGCGUAAAGCGUGCGUAGAUGGUUCGCUAAGUCGGAUGUGAAAGCCCCCGGGCUCAACCUGGGAA